UCGAGAAUCUUCGGCAAUGGGCGAAAGCCUGACCGAGCGAUGCCGCGUGCGGGAUGAAGGCCUUCGGGUUGUAAACCGCUGUCGUAGGGGAGAAAGGGUCGUUGAAGAAACGACUUUGAUCUAUCCCUAGGAGGAAGUCCGGGCUAAGUUCGUGCCAGCAGCCGCGGUAACACGAACCGGACAAACGUUAUUCGGAAUUACUGGGCUUAAAGGGUGCGUAGGCGGUGCGGUAAGUGCGGUGUGAAAUCCCACGGCUCAACCGUGGAAUUGCGCUGCAUACUGCCGUGCUAGAGGGAGACAGGGGUAAGCGGAACUGAUGGUGGAGCGGUGAAAUGCGUUGAUAUCAUCAGGAACACCGGUGGCGAAAGCGGCUUACUGGGUCUCUUCUGACGCUGAGGCACGAAAGCGUGGGGAGCAAACAGGAUUAGAUACCCCUGUAGUCCCUGAGCGGGCUGGCAAGGCGCAU
rnacentral:rRNA from 1 species